AGCGUUAAGGGCUAUCGAGGAUGCUGAGUAUGAACGAAUUUUCAAGUUGGAACAUCCUGAUCAAGUUCCUUCAAGCAUUCCUUUCCAAGAGAAAGAGUUUGGCAUUCCAGGAUCUCCUGGGGAUGAAGCACUUCAAGCAGUCGGGGUCACCAAGCACAUGACUGCACAACUGUCUAGCAUUGUUGUCUCCCUUGCUUUGUUUGAAGGGGAUAAGAUGUUAUUUGCAUGCUCAGGCGUAGCUGUACCAUCAGGGAUGGCAUGCAAACUUGACCUGACAAGAUUUGUGACUUGAAGACGUUUGGUUGAUGAAUUUAACAAAAACAGAAAUCUAGAUGAUAAAUUGAGGAUUGACGUGUGUCUUCCAAACAAUAGACAUAGGGAUGGGUUCUUGGGAUUAUAUGAUGAACGCAUUGCUAUUGUCACGUCUUGUAACUGCGAGGAUUAUGUCUGUCCUGUAGAUCUUGACCUUCAGGCACCGCGGCCUUCUGAUGACAAGAUAAUAGCAGCUGCUCGCGCCUCUGAAUCUGGCCGUUUGAUGGUCACGACUGGGUAUGUGACUGUAGACGGUGAUGCAAGUUGGGAGCAAAUC